rnacentral:rRNA from 1 species
CCUACGGGAGGCAGCAGUGGGGAAUUUUGCGCAAUGGGGGAAACCCUGACGCAGCAACGCCGCGUGAGUGAUGAAGGCCCUUGGGUCGUAAAGCUCUGUCAGUGGGGAAGAAGUGAUUGAGGGUUAAUACCCCUUGAUUUUGACGGUACCCACAAAGGAAGCACCGGCUAACUCCGUGCCAGCAGCCGCGGUAAU